AAAAAACUCUAGAUACAAAUUCGAGGUAGGUUCUAUGUUUGUAUUCCUCGAAUGAUCUCUAUGCAUGCGCGUUUGCUUAACUGGGCAACAAGGUCGCUCGCUUCAAUGAGUCUGUGCGCACUAUUAGGAGUUGUUCGCUUUUCUGCUCCGUCGUCUUUGUUUAUUACCAAUUUCAACGCCUUAAAUAGAGCAUCCAUCAACCGAGUCUCCACUGGAACGAAGUUUCGGGCCUACAACACCAUGGCUUCAUCCAUGUCUUCUUCGCCUAACACCAACAAAGACCUCUCAGAGGUAGUAGAACAGCUCCCCAAAAUCACUGCGCCGUACGGCUCCUGGAAGUCGCCAAUUACUGCUGACGUUGUUACUGGUGCCUCCAAACGACUUGGUGGUACUGCUGUCGACGGCAAUGGCCACCUUAUCUGGCUUGAAUCACGCCCCACCGAGGCCGGGAGGGGAGUGCUUGUUAAGGAAUCGGAAAAUCCAGGGGAUGAGCCUAGUGAUAUAACUCCAAAGGAGUUUUCAGUGCGGAACACGACGCAGGAAUACGGUGGUGGUGCAUUUACGGUGGCCGGAGACAUCGUUGUCUUUUCCAAUUACAAGGACCAAAGACUUUACAAGCAAGCUUUAAAUUCAGGUUCGCCUCCGCAAGCACUAACUCCCGAUUACGGUGGGCGAUCAGUUAGUUAUGCAGAUGGCGUGUUUGAUUCUCGUUUCAAUCGUUUUAUUACCAUCCAGGAAGAUGGACGUCAAAGUAGCUUGAAUCCAAUCACCACAAUUGUGUCAGUGGAACUUGACGGCAAGGAUAUUAAUGAACCGAAGGUCUUAGUUGGAGGAAAUGAUUUCUAUGCCUUCCCACGAGUGGAUCCUAAAGGGGAACGGAUUGCAUGGAUUGAAUGGGGUCAUCCUAACAUGCCUUGGGAUAAAUCAGAGCUCUGGGUUGGCUACCUUUCUGAGAAUGGAGAGGUCUAUAAACGAGUCUGUGUUGCUGGUGGUGAUCCAAAGCUUGUGGAAUCUCCUACUGAACCAAAGUGGUCUGCUCAGGGAGAACUAUUCUUUAUUACCGAUAGACAAAGUGGGUUUUGGAAUCUCUAUAAAUGGUUUGAGGCUAACAAUGAGGUGGCUCCAAUAUAUUCUUUAAGCGCUGAGUUUUCCCGACCCUUGUGGGUUUUUGGCACAAACUCUUAUGAAUUCUUAAGGAUAAGUGUUGGGAGAAACAUCUUAGUCUGCAGCUACAGACAGCAGGGGCGAUCAUAUCUUGGAGUUUUGGAUGAGGCACAAAGCUCACUAUCCUUGCUCGAUAUCCCAUUCACAGAUAUUGAAAAUAUUGCUCUGGGAAGUCAUUGUAUCUAUGUGGAAGGAUCUUCGGCACUUCAUCCAUCAUCUAUUGCCAAGGUGACCCUAAAUGAAAGAACCUGGGAAGUAGUAGGUUUCACUAUUAUCUGGUCAUCUUCACCAGAUAUUUUGAAAUAUAAGUCGUACUUCAGCCUUCCUGAGUUCAUUGAAUUUCCAACUGAAGUUCCCGGUCAAAAUGCUUAUGCUUACUUUUAUCCACCAUCCAAUCCUCUAUACCAGGCUAGUCAGGAUGAAAAGCCUCCACUGUUGUUGAAAAGUCAUGGAGGGCCGACUGCUGAAACACGUGGAAGUUUAAAUCCUGGCAUUCAAUACUGGACUAGUCGAGGCUGGGGUUAUGUUGAUGUCAAUUAUGGUGGUAGCACUGGUUAUGGGAGAGAGUACCGAGAAAGGCUUUUGAGGCAGUGGGGAAUUGUUGAUGUCAAUGACUGCUGCAGUUGUGCAAGAUUUUUGGUGGACUCUGGAAAGGUUGAUGGAGAACGGUUAUGCAUAACAGGGGGCUCUGCUGGGGGAUAUACCACCUUAGCUGCUCUUGCUUUUAGGGAUACGUUUAAGGCAGGAGCUUCCUUGUAUGGGAUAGCUGACUUACGCUUGUUGAGAGCAGAUACACACAAGUUUGAAUCUCACUAUAUUGACAAUCUCGUUGGGAAUGAAAAAGAUUACUUCGACAGGUCACCAAUCAACUUUGUUGACAAAAUUUCUUGCCCCAUAAUCCUAUUCCAGGGAUUGGAGGACAAAGUCGUACUACCUAAUCAAUCUCGUAAGAUAUAUAAUGCACUGAAGGAUAAGGGCUUGCCUGUUGCUCUAGUUGAGUAUGAAGGAGAACAACAUGGUUUCCGCAAGGCAGAAAAUAUUAAAUUUACCCUGGAACAACAAAUGAUGUUCUUUGCACGAUCAGUAGGUCACUUCCAAGUUGCUGACGAUAUUAACCCAAUCAAAAUCGAUAACUUUCACUAAGGAUCUCACAUGCUGGGUUAGAGAAGCAAAUCAAUUACUUGUUUUGAAUUACGGGGAGGAGUUACAGAACUGUCAAUCAAAUCAAACUUUGUUUUCAAACGAAAGUUGGAAGCCCCUAACAGCUGACUACUCUCCUUCCUACCUCACAAAUUUUGUGCCUACCAACUUCCUCGUGCAUCCUAUCACUUUUAUGUCCUUCUUUCCAAAGUUAUUAUGCUACACCCUUUCAGCCAUUCUUGCCCUGCUUAGUGUCAACAGCCUUCUUCGAGCAUGCGUAAAAAUUUACAUAUGGUAUGAGCUUUUUGUUCAUUUAGUAGAUACACUUUAAAGUUAUUUCUAUGGGUGCCACUUGCCUUGAGUUUCUCUGGUUCUUUGGUGGAAGUUUGGGGGACUAAGGAAGUCUUUGUGGAAGUAGCCUUUUUCUUGCAGUCUUUCCCAGUGACAAGCUUCAGUUACAAAAUAUAGAAAGUAGAAUGAAUUGCUGCCAAGGCGAAUAGGUAUGUGUUUUUAUUAAUUGUUGGAGUAGUUAAUUACACUCCUAGGUCUCGUCUUGUUUCUGUACAACUGGGCAAUAGAGAACGUUGGUGAAGAAGCUUGACCAUAACGAAUCAGUAAUGGAGGUGGUCUGUCCAAAAGUUGGAACCGAGUUACCUUAGUCAAUACAUGAAAUUAAAUGUUCAUCGGUACUCUGCCGACAAUAAGUCUACAAGCAAUGUCCAUGCUCCAGAAAACCGCCUUUAGUUGUCCACCUAUCUUUUGGUGAUAAGUCAUGAUAUUAUUGGAUUGGAUACAGUCCCUUGACGAUUCGAAUGCUCAUCUAGAACUUGCUCAUGAACAUCUUAUCCUUGUUUGAGACUGCGGGUCUAGGAAUGAUGUACAGCCUAAUGAUCUCCUACAAACAACGUAGUAAUGGAAGAAGCAACAUAAGGUUCUUGAUCGGGAGAAAGUAAGCAUAUUUGGUCAAAUAAUCAACCAUUACUAAAAUAGUUUUCUACUGCCAAUUUUGGGAAAUUCCCCGGUGAAAUCGAUAAUAAGAUGGCAGCCUAGGUACAUUAUGCAUCUUUGGUCAACUUUUAAUUUGUUUCAUUUUACUUUUUCUAUAUGGAGUUCGAAUGUUAUCAUAGUUAGGAAUGCAUCAAAAAUCAUUAGAAGAUUAAUUGAAUUCCAUGUUGUUGUCCUGGAGAUCAAAUCAGUUCAAAGCAAAUGGACUGGGUCAGAUAUAUGUAUAUGUGUAUAUUUGCCUUAACCAUUCAAUAGAAUAUUGUUAUUAUCGAGAAUUUUUCUUCCAUUCGAGCAUUUGGUAUGCUGUUGAAUGGCACAUCAAAAAGUAAAAAUGACUCAAUUUUGGUCAAUGUGGUUUCUUUCUAGAUGUUGAAGAAACGAAUGAAAUUUGAAAAAAAAUAAAUCGGAAAUUGCACUAAAGAUGGAUUAAUCCUGGAUCCAUCAGCGGGAGGACCUAAAGUUGGUAUGCAUAUGGGAUGCUGGAUUGAAGAGGAGUCCUCCCAAAAUCCCCUUGUAGGGCAGGAAAGUCUUCUUCUUGUCCUCUGAUGCUGCUUUACUCAAUGAAAAAUGUGGCUCAUAGAUUGAAACUGGUCCAUUUCUGCUAUUGUUAGACUUGAAGCUCGUAUUCUUAAAAUCUUCUUGUUUCUUGUAUACGGUUGAAUAUUUCCUUAGAGGAUCUUUUCCAGUUCCUCGUCCUUCAGAUGCACUCCGGAACAGGUCCUUUAGUCUCCAUCUUCUAUUACCCUUAGACGAGGUGGAAUUGGUACCAGUAGCAGAAGGAGAUCCUGGAGUCAACCUCAGCUGUCCAACGUUGUUUUGUAAAGGCUGUUUCUCAUCCCAUUGAGAUGAAGAAACUCUAUCAGGAGAGAGCGACCUCACCGCUCUUCGGGAAGCUGAGGACGACAAGGCUGGGUUUCUUCCUCUCCCUCUCUUCUGUUCCUUUUUCCUUUCUGUUUUCUCAUUUAUCGUUUCUGUUGGAUCUUUCCUCCUUUCUGUAGAGUACGCAUUCUGAAAGAUUUUAUUUUGUUGAGAUAUUGGUGAUUGUGGUGGUGUCUCUAGUGGUCGGAUUUUGCCAUCAUCAAAUAGCUCGUCGGCUGAGAGUGUGGUUGCCUCCAACUGUUGGCAAAUAUCAAAUGCAAAAUCGUCAUCCUCCAUUUCUGGUUCAUCCAUUUGGGAAGAUUGCAACUCAUCAAAGCCCCUAUAAAACUCAGACACAUGCAUUGGACUAGAGGGUGCGCUGUAGAAGUAAUUUCCAAAAACUUUAGUUGUAAUUGGAACAGUCGAGAUCGUAGAUCUACCUCCAUGGAAAUGGUAAUCCAUGCUUGGCGAUGGUGCUGCCACCUCCAUUCUAAUGAUCUUCUCUGACCCCCCCUUUCUUUCUUGCCUCACUUUUGAACAGAAGACAGGCAAGAUUGAUAGAGAAGCAAUUCCAAUAGACCAAGCUAGAAUUGCCAGUAUGUUACUUGAAUGAAGAAAAGGAAGGCGAAUAAAUAUGUUGCGGAGUUUGUUGACCACAAAAAGGGAAGCAAUGAGGAUUGUUGGCGAGACUAGACUUCAAAAGGGAUACAUUUUCAGUCAAGUAGAUGGAAGUCGUGCACCUAACAACUACAAGUGAAUGAUAAAAAUUUGUAAAUUUUGGUUGGUAAAGGUAAAGCUAUUCAUUGUCAUUUA